GUGCGGGGGCGGGACGGGCCCCGGUUGGAGGGCUGAGCGGCGCCGGGUCCGCCGUCGGGCGGGGCAGUACAGGAAUUUCAACGGGAGGAAGCCUCUGUUCAGAACUGGAUCUGUUACAGGACAUUGUGACGUUACUGCAGAAACACUGAUACUUGACUGAGAAUAGCAAGGAUGGGAAGUCAACUCUUAGCAGCGAGUACUGAUGCCCUGUCAGAUCCAGCGCUAAUCUCAUCUUGCUCUGCAGUGCGCUUCCCACUGUGGCCGUACUGCUGGCCGGCCUGCCACCAGGAAUCUCGUUUGUCUGACCUACUGCUACACAACUGGAGACAUGUCCAAGAAGGAUCCAGAAGUGCCUACCCUUAGUGCCCUGAAGAUACUUUGGAUGGGGCAGCUUCACAGUAUUGCGUAGAGAUUUGCAUCUGGAAUUGAGAUCAGGUUUUGGAGCAAUGUGCUACGCAGUUAACUUUCAGUCAUAAGCUAGGGACAAGUAUCAAUUAAAGAACUUUCUG
rnacentral:lncRNA from 7 species